CGGGGCGUAGUACAGCCUGGUAGUACGCCUGCUUUGGGAGCAGGAGGCCGGAGGUUCGAAUCCUCUCGCCCCGACCA
rnacentral:tRNA from 1 species